CAUUGUCUCUGACUGUCAGCCAGCAGUUUGAGUCGGCAUGGUAGGUGCCCUGACGUUGUCUCUGACUGUCAGCCAGCAGUUUGAGUCGGCAUGGUAGGUGCCCUGACGUUGUCUCUGACUGUCAGCCAGCAGUUUGAGUCGGCAUGGUAGGUGCCCUGACGUUGUCUCUGACUGUCAGCCAGCAGUUUGAGUCAGCAUGGUAGGUGCCCUGACGUUGUCUCUGACUGUCAGCCAGCAGUUUGAGUCGGCAUGGUAGGUGCCCUGACGUUGUCUCUGACCGUCAGCCAGCAGUUUGAGUCGGCAUGGUAGGUGCCCUGACGUUGUCUCUGACUGUCAGCCAGCAGUUUGAGUCGGCAUGGUAGGUGCCCUGACGUUGUCUCUGACUGUCAGCCAGCAGUUUGAGUCGGCAUGGUAGGUGCCCUGACGUUGUCUCUGACUGUCAGCCAGCAGUUUGAGUCGGCAUGGUAGGUGCCCUGACGUUGUCUCUGACUGCCAGCCAGCAGUUUGAGUCAGCAUGGUAGGUGCCCUGACGUUGUCUCUGACUGCCAGCCAGCAGUUUGAGUCGGCAUGGUAGGUGCCCUGACGUUGUCUCUGACCGUCAGCCAGCAGUUUGAGUCAGCAUGGUAGGUGCCCUGACGUUGUCUCUGACUGUCAGCCAGCAGUUUGAGUCAGCAUGGUAGGUGCCCUGACGUUGUCUCUGACUGUCAGCCAGCAGUUUGAGUCGGCAUGGUAGGUGCCCUGACGUUGUCUCUGACUGUCAGCCAGCAGUUUGAGUCAGCAUGGUAGGUGCCCUGACGUUGUCUCUGACUGCCAGCCAGCAGUUUGAGUCAGCAUGGUAGGUGCCCUGACGUUGUCUCUGACUGUCAGCCAGCAGUUUGAGUCAGCAUGGUAGGUGCCCUGACGUUGUCUCUGACUGUCAGCCAGCAGUUUGAGUCAGCAUGGUAGGUGCCCUGACGUUGUCUCUGACUGUCAGCCAGCAGUUUGAGUCAGCAUGGUAGGUGCCCUGACGUUGUCUCUGACUGUCAGCCAGCAGUUUGAGUCGGCAUGGUAGGUGCCCUGACGUUGUCUCUGACUGCCAGCCAGCAGUUUGAGUCAGCAUGGUAGGUGCCCUGACGUUGUCUCUGACUGCCAGCCAGCAGUUUGAGUCAGCAUGGUAGGUGCCCUGACGUUGUCUCUGACUGCCAGCCAGCAGUUUGAGUCAGCAUGGUAGGUGCCCUGACGUUGUCUCUGACUGUCAGCCAGCAGUUUGAGUCAGCAUGGUAGGUGCCCUGACGUUGUCUCUGACUGCCAGCCAGCAGUUUGAGUCGGCAUGGUAGGUGCCCUGACGUUGUCUCUGACUGCCAGCCAGCAGUUUGAGUCGGCAUGGUAGGUGCCCUGACGUUGUCUCUGACUGUCAGCCAGCAGUUUGAGUCAGCAUGGUAGGUGCCCUGACGUUGUCUCUGACUGCCAGCCAGCAGUUUGAGUCAGCAUGGUAGGUGCACUUACGCUGUAUA